rnacentral:misc_RNA from 1 species
GAUGAAGAACGCAGCGAAAUGCGAUAAGUAAUGUGAAUUGCAGAAUUCAGUGAAUCAUCGAAUCUUUGAACGCACAUUGCGCCCGCCAGCACUCUGGCGGGCAUGCCUGUUCGAGCGUCAUUUCAACCAUCAAGCCCCCAGGGGCUUGUGCUGGGGCCCUGCGGCUGCCCGCAGGCCCUGAAAACCAGUGGCGGGCUCGCUAGUCACACCGAGCGCUGUAGCACAUCUCGCUCAGGGCGUGCGGCGGGCUCCUGCCGUGAAACCCCCCACUGUAACCCCAAAGGUUGACCUCGGAUCAGGUAGGAAUACCCGCUGAACUUAAGCAUAUCAAUAAGCGGAGGA